UUCUAACCCUUGUAACCUCAGGUACUACUACAAAGCAGAAAGGAUCUCUGUAAGUUAGUUAAUAGCACCAUGCCGUGCCUCUUGUGCUGCAAGACUUCUAGUUCUUCAACUAAAAAAAUAUACGUUUCGCUUGGCAUGCUUUCUGGAUGUGGUAUUACAUGAUAUCAGUCCUAAAAAAGUAAAACUUUCUUCUAUUGUCAGUUCAAUUUUCUCUAGUAUGUAUGUUCUGGAGAUGAUGCAUGUUUGUUUGCUUUUUAUCAUGAUAUAUAGAAAGAUGCUGGUAGCUGUAGUACCUAUACUACAACAGUUCAUUGACAAAAAAUAUAUCAGUUCAAUACAUACUUGGAAAAAAGCUCAAUACUAAGUGUUCUCUGCCUAUCCUUACAUUAGCUAGUCUUCACCAUGUUCAGAUAGUACCUAGAAGAAGUUAACUCAUGCAUUUCCAUAAAACUAUGUACUGAUAAAUCAGAACUCGUGCAUUUCCAUAAAAUUAUGUAUGUUUCGUGUGUGUGCUUCUACAAAUCUGAAAUACUUUUCCAAUCAUACUAGUACUGAUGCAAUCACCUAAAAACGUUGAAGAAAAAUUAUGUAAGUUUGGUGCGUGUGCUGCUACAAAUCUAAACUUCUUGUCCAGUCAUUCUAGUACCGAUGAAGAUCGAGUUGACGGAAAUAAUGUAGUCGAUACCUGAGACCCUUAAUAGUCCUAUAUAUAUAAGUUGUGCCUGAUAGCCAUACAUGAUUUUUCUCUUUGUUGCCUGCUUGUUUUUGUAAAAUUCUUUGAACUUAUUUAGGUGAUAUAUUUUGACCUUUGCCUCGUCAGUACAACAGCACGCUCCCCAGCCGGUCACGAGAAGAGCUGCGUGCAGGCCCCCUGUGCUCUAUCCUCGACCCGCCUCAGUCAUCUCCCUCUCAUCCUCUCUCUGCUCCGUGUGUGUGUGUGUGCAGGGAGUGGGAGCAGAUAGAGCAGGGGAGUGGGAGGCCCUUCCAUGGUGAAUUCAUAGGCAUCUUCCAUGGAGCACAAGUAGCAAUUCCCAGCUGAGAGAACCCUCAUGUUAAAAAGUAUAAAAGCAGUUUUGAAGCAAUUCCCAGUGUCUUUAGAAGCAUUCAUGGUUAAAAAGCAACGACUACCUCCUCCGUUCGAGUUGAGCACUGGUCAUCGUCCAAGUUGAGCACUAGGUGUCGUCCAAGUUCAAAGAGGGUUGUAUGCAAGUACAGAAGUUUGUUUUAGUGAGAAAAUGCGGCGUUUUCACAAUAUUAUGUAUGAUUCAUUUGUUCAACCUUAGACUUGGCGAUAUUCAGUCUAUUUUUCUAUGAUGAAGGCACACAUGAAGUCAUGUGCAAUGGUUAUACCCCUAGUGUUUCAAAGAUUCGUAUUUUGUUUCUUCAAAUGUGUUGUGCGCGUGUUUGAUGAGGUAAAACAAAGUAAAAUAGUGAAAUGGCAUUAAAGACAUUUGGAAGUACAAAUGUAAAAAAUAAAUAAGUUCUGAUUCUUGGCAGGUAGGAAGUUUGGAGAAGAAAACAUAAGUUUUUAAAAGAAGGGAAUGGUGAAAAUGUAAGCCCGUUCAACUAAUAAACAUUCUUUUUAUGUUCCUGUGAUGUUCCAUAUUUUUGUGAACUGAUAGUUGAUGCUCUUUGUGGACUGAUAGCUGAUACUUUUUGUUAACCGAUAAACUGAAUAAAUGAGAUGGAUGUAUUAUCAGGCCGUGAAAAUGAUGUAAAAAAUAUGUGCAGUUCAGCGGAUGAGUAUUAUGUAUGUCCUUCUAAUCUGAAGGUAGUGGCACCACUAAGAAAAACAAAAUAAUCAGUUUUUUGUAGCCACGGAAUGGGCAUUUGGCUCGGUAAUCUUCCGUUGCUAGAGGUACUGCCUCUUGAGUUAAUUUAUGAAACUGAAAUCAUCCUUUUUAUGUUUUCGUGUUGUCAAAUAAAACCAAUUUUUUUGGACAUGCAGCGCUCAAGCCGUUCACCCUUACCACCACAAGUCGUUCACCUCCGCCACACGAGGCCGUGCGAUGAUGCAACUAUCAGAACGUUCACCUCUGCCAUAGGAGGCCGAUGCAACGCUAAGAAUGUUUUGUUCUUUUUCAGUACAUGUUUUGUGUGCUUUUUAGUACACCUACUUAACGAUUCUAUGUCCAAUUUCCCCUGUUUAAGUGUUCUUCCUAUAGCACAACAGGAGUUGUGUGUUAUGCCUUAAUAAGCAUUUGAGAAAACCUUGUAUGGAUCGAAACUAGCAUAUGUUCUGUUCUAUUCUUGUAAAUGAAGCUCCACUUUUGUUUUGUUUGAGGUUACUUGACAUAAAAAUUAGUAUAUGUUCUAUUGUAAAAACAUAUCUAAAAUGUCAUGAUGCAUGCUAGCAGAAAUCUGAAAAUACACUCAGUUCAGUUCCUAUAUUUUAUUUCAGUUCAAUUUAGAACUAUUUGCAACUGUUCAGACUCGAGUGUUCCUAUAUUUUAUUUCAGUUCAAUUUAGAAGUA